CUUAACAUGGUAUCAAAUACUUAUUCUUCACCCUCCUAAAAUUUGUCUUUCCUUUUUCAAAUCGAUCCUUUCCUUUCUAUCAUCUUCUUCCCUACGCAAACCCUAAUGGCUGGUGAUAAACAACAUCCCACGCCUCCUACUCCUCUUACCAAGGCAUAUGCUGUCAACAACAUCAAAACAUAUGUCCCGUUCAUCCUUGAUCAAACCACUCACAACUAUGACCCAUGGCGAGACCUAUUCACAGCCCAUUGCACCGCCUUCGAGGUCCUUGAUCACAUUGACAGUACCCACGAUGCACCUAGCUAACCAACCUCCAACUGAUUCACAAUGGCAGAAUCUUGACCAACUUCUGAAGCUUUGGCUGUUCGGUUCUAUUUCUCAGUCUCUUAUUACCUCUGCUCACUCUGUCAAUGCCACUGCACACAAAAUUUGGCUCAACAUUGAAGCCAUCUUCCGUCAAAACAAUGAUGCCACUGCUAUUCAAUUAGAAAACGAAUUAAGAACAAUCACAAUGGGAGAGCUAUCUAUUCACGACUACUUCAACAAAAUCAAGAAAAUCACAGAUCUUCUGGAGGGGAUUGGUGAGAAAGUAAAAGAAAAACAUGUGGUUAUUCAUGCAGUUAGCGGAUUGUCCAGUAAAUUUGAUACUACCGUCGGAUUCAUCAGCCACAACAAACCAAUCCCUUCGUUUGAUGAAGUCAGGUCCUUGCUUCUUGCUGAAGAACACAGACUUCGCACCACCAGAACACCUCCACCAUUGCAAACAAUUAACCUCCACAAAAUCACGGCAAGUAAAUGUUCUUGAAGGUGCGUCAUCUUAAAGAAAAUUAGAAAUGUCAAAGUGACUAAAUCAAUUUGAUAAUGUGUUGUACUAUGGAUCAGAAUGUUGAUGUUUUUACAAAAUCUAUAAACGCGGGUUAUUAACUAUUUAUGUAACAAAGUAGUUAUGAUCAAUCUAUUCCAAGGUUAAGGUCGAUGCAUGUAAGGUGUUGAAAUAUUGGUAUAUAUGGUAUAUAACAAAGUUGUUUGGUAUUUAUUUUGUACGUUUAUAUGCCCAACACUAAAAAUGAAAAGUCAGCGAGAUGAAUCAACACUAAAGCUAAAUGAAAGAAAGAAAGAGUUUAAGUACUAAAGGUGUGCAACAUUUAAAGACCGAGGAGCUGCGUGCAAAAAGGGAAGCAAAUUAAGGAGUAAUCAGUAAUUACGAUUUGUAUAUAAACACUAUUCAUUCGGCCAUUUUAGCUCAAGUUUCUGCAUUGAUUUUCUACUCAUCGUCAAGUUUCUGCAUUGAUUUUCUACUGCUAUAUAUAUAGUUGAAGUAUCAUCAUCUUCAAUUCAUCAUCAAUACAACCUGCAAGUGCACUCAUGGAGACUAAAACUGAGGUAUCACAAGAAUUGCCUGGAGUACAAGUUAAUCAGCUACCACCAGUGGUUUAUAUAAAAUCUACACCUCUAGCGGAUAUUAUACAACCUGUCAAUCAGAUACCAUCGUCUUUUCCAACAUCAGCCAAUGUUAUACAUUCCGACAAUCAGAUACCACCAUCAGAGGUUAUUAUACAACCUCCACCACUGAAACAGUGAAACUUACCCUACCUGGUCGUAUCAUUGGUGGCAAGUGAUGUCAAUAUUAUCAAUGCUGAUUUCUAAUAAUGAUUCGAAUGUGUUUGAGGUGGCAAAUGGAGAUGGAAGCUCAGGAACACGUUACACGUAAAUAAAAAGGAUUAAUAUAUAUGUACGUAUAUGUUGUUAUUCUAUAAUGUUAAUCGUUUUCUGAAAGAUAUAUUAAUUAAGUGUUUGUUUCUAUUA